UGAGGAAUCUUCCACAAUGGGGGCAACCCUGAUGGAGCAACGCCGCGUGAAGGAUGAAGGCCCUCGGGUUGUAAACUUCUUUUAUGAGUGAAGAAUAUGACGGUAACUCAUGAAUAAGCACCGGCUAACUACGUGCCAGCAGCCGCGGUCAUACGUAGGGUGCAAGCAUUAUCCGGAGUGACUGGGCGUAAAGAGUUGCGUAGGCGGCUUAAUAAGUGAAUAGUGAAACCUGGUGGCUCAACCAUACAGA
rnacentral:rRNA from 1 species